rnacentral:rRNA from 1 species
AGCAGCCGCGGUAAUUCCAGCUCCAAUAGCGUAUAUUAAAGUUGCUGCAGUUAAAAAGCUCGUAGUUGAAUUUCGGGACCAUCAUGUCGGUCGUGCCUCGGUACGUACUGGCAUUGUUGGUUUCUACCUUCUGACGAACCAUGAUGUCAUUUAUUUGGUGUCGUGGGAAAUCAGGACUGUUACUUUGAAAAAUUAGAGUGUUUAAAGCAGGCUCACGCUUGAAUACAUUAGCAUGGAAUAAUGAAAUAGGACGUUUGAUUCUAUUUUGUUGGUUUCUAGGAUCGACGUAAUGAUUAAUAGGGAUAGUUGGGGGCAUUAGUAUUCAAUUGUCAGAGGUGAAAUUCUUGGAUUUAUUGAAGACUAACUACUGCGAAAGCAUUUGCCAAGGAUGUUUUCAUUAAUCAAGAACGAAAGUUAGGGGAUCGAAGACGAUCAGAUACCGUCGUAGUCUUAACCAUAAACUAUGCCGACUAGGGAUCGGAUGAUGUUAAUUUUAAUGUA